GGAAGGCAAGAAACCCUGUUUUAGGAACUGGGGCUGAUCACAUCUUAAAGCCACUUGCUGGGUACCAAGCCACACAUGUGGGGGAAGUCGUCCGUUCCCAGCAUGCUUUUGAAUCGAUGGAACCACCACGUGUGAGUCUUCUGCUACACAGAGAACUGCACCCCAGCGUCUGGCACUGCCAAGUGGCCCACGUGGAACUCCCACGCUGCCAGAUUGUGUGAAAGUAGCAAAAACAAGAGGCUGGUGGAGAACCAUGUGCUAGGAGGUCAGCUUGACUUCUCUCCUGAGAUGUUCACCUGGAUGCCUGCAGAGUGCGUCCUGGAAGCCUACGUGAUGGGGGUGAGGGUGAUGGAAAGUGCUAUUCGAGGUGGGUGAUUUCUUUACUUACACAGAAGACAAUGAGUGCUGCUAUGCCAUUUUCAUUCUGACCCCUAAAAAGUGAGUCCUGCAGAUGUGAAAUGAAGAUGAGAGGAAAGAAGGCAAAUUUAUUGGAGAAUAACACGAAUGCACAUUUAGAAAGCUCGGCAUGUAGAUAAUUGAAAGCAGAGAAGGAAAUGGUGUCUAGAUGGUAUUCCAAUUCGCAUGGCUUAAUUUCUAGCUGAUAAAGCGUAACCCAGUGUUAACCCUUGAAACACUUGAUGUAACAGAACAAGAGCUUUGGUGGAAGGUAAAUGACCUCCAUAACUCUCAAGGAGAGCAAGGAGAUUAGUUAGGGAAAAAUUUCAGGGCCUUCAUUUUUAAUUUGUUUUUUAUUAUCACACUUUCUGGAUGUUCUUAAUUGAGCUCCUAACUUAAAGCCCGUUAACAAUGUCUCACUGUAAUGGGCAAAACCCCAGCACGAUCUGCUGCUCCUGGCUCACACCUCCCUGAUCCCUUGUCCCAUCAUCCCCAUUACUGCCCGGCUUCCUCCUCACUGACGCUCAGCUGUGUCUUGGAUGGGACAAGCACCUAUCUACAUCAUGACUUCUAGCUUCAUCCUGCCUACACAGAGGGACGCCCCGAUGUGUUCCCUCAAACUCUCACAGCUGAGGGAAGCAGAUUUGCCCUUAGGAGGAUAUUUCACACGCAUAGGGAAAAAAAUUCACUGGACUACAAAUAAAACCAGCUAUAUUGAAAAACAGCACAAAUAAUUUCAAAUUAAAUGUGUUAUAUAGUAACGUGCACACUUCACUAAUUCAUCAAAAUAAUGACAACUGAGCAGAACAUUGAAUAAUAAUCAUAAUCUCAAAGCAGUGGUUAGAGUAGAUGAUAUUUCAAGGUGCUUCUAUGUUGUUAUGUAAACUAAAUAUCCUGGAAAAUUGGGCAAUGAAAUUGUUGACGCUACUAGGGGCUUUGUGGAUAACAUUGAAAAUGAUAACACUGAUAAUUGAAGGAAAUACUAAAUCUUAGUGAGAUGUUGGCCAGGGUAUCGUUUAUUUUUCUUUCUCUCUCUCUUCCUUCCUUCAUUUUUUUCUUUCUCUCUUUCUCUUUCUCUCUUUCUCUCCUUCCCUCCCUCCCUUCCU